GAACUUUGACCUUUGCAAUGGCAAAUUCAAUAUCUGCUUUUUGAGAGGAGGGGUUGAGCAAACUGUUCGCUCAAUAUACACUUGCCAUCAAAGACAGGCUUCAGUUCUCUGCACUAUCUGCAGCUACACAGCCUGCUCACAGAAUCUAGGUCCAGUGUUACUUGGAUGUAACCAACUGCCAACAGAGGGAGGAAAGACAGAACCAGCUGGUUAAAAGCCAAAUCCAGGGUUUGGAAGUUGUCUCUAAGAUGGCAACAAGCUCUUGGAAGCAAACAAAUCAGCUCGUUUGGAGAAAGAAGUCUUAUUCUCAAACACGACAGGUAUAAAAUACUGAGAAGGAACUUCAUAGCUGUGAGAGUAAGUGGGACCAUUUCCCCACCAGCCCAACCCACUGCUCAAGGGGACACGGGAGGCCUGACCCCGGUACAAGGCCACAUGGAAAAGCUGGCAAAACAGCCUGCCAUCGGCAGAGUACAGGAAGCGGUUUGCGCUGUGGCUACACCGCCCAUGAGUUACACAAUGCGAUAGGAUGGAAGAAGAAGUGGUUUUCUUCCUCUUCCAAAUUAAAAUAGCCUUUCCUUAACGAA